rnacentral:rRNA from 1 species
UGGGGAAUAUUGGGCAAUGGGGCGCAAGCCUGACCCAGCAACGCCGCGUGAAGGAAGAAGGCUUUCGGGUUGUAAACUUCUUUUGUCAGGGACGAGUAGAAGACGGUACCUGACGAAUAAGCCACGGCUAACUACGUGCCAGCAGCCGCGGUAAUACGUAGGUGGCAAGCGUUGUCCGGAUUUAUUGGGUGUAAAGGGUGCGUAGACGGGAGAUUAAGUUAGUUGUGAAAGCCCUCGGCUUAACUGAGGAAUUGCAACUAAAACUGGUUUCUUGAGUGCAGGAGAGGUAAGUGGAAUUCCUAGUGUAGCGGUGAAAUGCGUAGAUAUUAGGAGGAACACCAGUGGCGAAGGCGACUUACUGGACUGUAACUGACGUUGAGGCACGAAAGUGUGGGGAGCAAACAGGAUUAGAUACCCUGGUAGU